UUAAAAGCGUUACAGUUCAGUUCUUGCAGUCUUCACAGGUCCUUGUUGCUAUUAAUAGAUCAUCAAUGUACCGCAAGAGCGUACCUUCCCUUCCCCAAGCGGCGGCAUCCAGGCUUCCAGUUCCUCGGCUAAUCGAUCUCCAAAUAUCACGGGUCUAUUUUUGAAUCCUUGUGGCAAUACAGUCCACGACUAAUUUUGGGAGGCCCAGUCUUCCUCGGGACUUUCAACCCACCCUCAGGGACUCGAACCCCGGACCUGCAGUUUCUACAUUCAGAGGUCUUUCUGCCAAGCCUCCAGAUCUGUGUAAUUCCCUCGCCAAACUAUCCUCCUCCCCAACGGCGCAGCACUCGUUGCCUCGCGCCUUCAGUUCAUCGUGGAAAGCAUUUAUUUUAGCGAGCAAACGUUGUUGCGGCAGGCGCAGCGAAAAGCAGAAGAAUUCUCGGUAAGAUCAUCUCGGAGAGCUCAAGCGCCGGCCAAAACCUCGCCACGUUCCGCCGUGACGCCACCGAGGGAGGAAAGAGCGUGAGGUGCAAAGCCCCGAGCGGAGCGGUAGGAAACGGGAGGACCG